CCUACGGGAGGCAGCAGUGAGGAAUAUUGGUCAAUGGCCGAAAGGCUGAACCAGCCAAGUCGCGUGAGGGAAGACGGCCCUACGGGUUGUAAACCUCUUUUGUCGGGGAGCAAAGCGGACCACGUGUGGUUCAUUGAGAGUACCCGAAGAAAAAGCAUCGGCUAACUCCGUGCCAGCAGCCGCGGUAAUACGGAGGAUGCGAGCGUUAUCCGGAUUUAUUGGGUUUAAAGGGUGCGCAGGCGGGGGUGCAAGUCAGAGGGAAAAUUGCGGGGCUCAACCCCGUACUGCCGUUGAAACUGCAGCCCUUGAGUGCGCGAGAAGUAGGCGGAAUGCGUGGUGUAGCGGUGAAAUGCAUAGAUAUCACGCAGAACUCCGAUCGCGAAGGCAGCAUACCGGCGCGCAACUGACGCUCAUGCACGAAAGCGUGGGUAUCGAACAGGAUUAGAUACCCUUGUAGUC
rnacentral:rRNA from 1 species